rnacentral:lncRNA from 1 species
AAAUUCAGUUCAAGAGAAGUCCGAGUCUGAUGUCAAAAGAUGUAACAAAAGAAAAUAAAUAAAAUGACAAUAAUACAUAAAUAACAACAGACUACUAGCAGUUAACUGACAUGCCAGCUCCAGACCUCAAUUAAACUGAUUGAAAAAUUAUGUCUUCAUCAUAUGAAUAUCAGGUACAAUCCCUCCCGUUAGGGGUUUAGUAUCAUACUAUCAUAAAAUAUAUGAGAAGAACAUAACCCGUGUCAUGCCAACAACUGUUUUUUUAGAAAUAAAUGUGUUUAGUUCCGAUGCG